CAACCCUCAGAACCCCUCUCUUACGGGAGGGCGUUACUGGUGUUGGGGAACGAGCGUCCACCGCGGCGCCCGUCCCUUAAAUCUAUUGGCGGCUCCGGAGUCUGUCUCCCCUGCGUAGUAUUGCAUCUCGCUUUGGUGACUUCUUCGGGCUGCUGCGGCCUCUGGCUGCGAAACCCCCACUA
rnacentral:misc_RNA from 1 species